rnacentral:piRNA from 1 species
UGAACUUCGGGUGUAUAAAGCUAUGUUGUU